rnacentral:rRNA from 1 species
AGGCCAGACUCCUACGGGAGGCAGCAGUGGGGGAUAUUGCACAAUGGGGGAAACCCUGAUGCAGCGACGCCGCGUGUGGGAAGACGGUCCUCUGGAUUGUAAACCACUGUCCCCAGGGACGAAGAUGACGGUACCUGGGGAGGAAGCUCCGGCUAACUACGUGCCAGCAGCCGCGGUAAUACGGAGGAUGCGAGCGUUAUCCGGAUUUAUUGGGUUUAAGGGGUGCGCAGGCGGAGGUGCAAGUCAGCGGUCAAAUUGCGGGGCUCAACCCCGUACUGCCGUUGAAACUGCAUCCCUUGAGUGCGCGAGAAGUAUGCGGAAUGCGUGGUGUAGCGGUGAAAUGCAUAGAUAUCACGCAGAACCCCGAUUGCGAAGGCAGCAUACCGGUGCACAACUGACGCUCAGGCACGAAAGCGUGGGUAUCGAACAGGAUUAGAUACCCCGGUAUC